rnacentral:rRNA from 1 species
CCCUUAGAUGUUCUGGGCUGCACGCGUGUUACAAUCGGGAGUACAACAAGAUUGCAAAUCCUAGUGGAUGAGUGGUUCUUCGAAAUUUUCUGAAGACUGGGAUAGUUGAUUGAAAUUAUUCAACUCGAACGAGGAAUUCCUUGUAAUUGUAAUUCAUUAUAUUGUAAUGAAUACGUCCCUGCCCUUUGUACACACCGCCCGUCGCACCUACCGAUUGGAUGGUCCGGUGAAGCCUCGGGAUUGUGGUUCUUGCCGCUUUAUUGUGGCGUGACCGCGAGAACUUGUCUAAACCUUAUCAUCUAGAGGAAGGUGAAGUCGUAACA